UACGAAGGGUGCAGGCGUUACUCGGAAUUACUGGGCGUAAAGCGUGCGUAGGUGGUUCGUUAAGUCUGAUGUGAAAGCCCUGGGCUCAACCUGGGAAUGGCAUUGGAUACUGGCGAUCUAGAGUGCGGUAGAGGGCAGUGGAAUUCCCGGUGUAGCAGUGAAAUGCGUAGAGAUCGGGAGGAACACCAGUGGCGAAGGCGGUUGCCUGGAGCUUUGCUGACGCUGAGGCGCGAAAGCGUGGGGAGCGAUCCGG
rnacentral:rRNA from 1 species